ensembl:snoRNA U3 Small nucleolar RNA U3
AAGACCAUAAUUUCAGGGAUCAUUUCUAUAGUUUAUUACUGGAGAAGUUUCUUUGAACGUAUAGAGUACUAAAAACCAUGUUAUCUCCUGACUGUAAAGCUGCCUCUUGGUAUUGCUUUACUUCAAUUGCCAUUUGCCACUAAUGAUUGUUCUUUUUUUCGGAGAGAGUAAGGGGGAGAGGACAGAGUCUGGGU